rnacentral:rRNA from 1 species
UUUGAAAUCUGGCUUCGGCCCGAGUUGUAAUUUGUAGAGGAUGCUUUUGGCGCGGUGCCUUCUGAGUUCCCUGGAACGGGACGCCAUAGAGGGUGAGAGCCCCGUAUAGUUGGACACCAAGCCUUUGUAAAGCUCCUUCGACGAGUCGAGUAGUUUGGGAAUGCUGCUCAAAAUGGGAGGUAAAUUUCUUCUAAAGCUAAAUACCGGCCAGAGACCGAUAGCGCACAAGUAGAGUGAUCGAAAGAUGAAAAGCACUUUGAAAAGAGGGUUAAAUAGCACGUGAAAUUGUUGAAAGGGAAGCGCUUAUGACCAGACUUGUUCCCGGUUGAUCAUCCAGUGUUCUCACUGGUGCACUCUGCCGGGAUCAGGCCAGCGUCGGUUUUCGCAGGGGGAUAAAAGCUUCGGGAACGUGGCUCCUCCGGGAGUGUUAUAGCCCGUUGCACAAUACCCUUGUGGGGACCGAGGUUCGCGCUCUGCAAGGACGCUGGCGUAAUGGUCAUCAGCGACCCGUCUUGAAACACGGACCAAGGAGUCGAGGUUUUGCGCGAGUGUUUGGGUGUCAAACCCGCACGCGUAAUGAAAGUGAACGUAGGUGAGAGCUUCGGCGCAUCAUCGACCGAUCCUGAUGUAUUCGGAUGGAUUUGAGUAAGAGCGUAUAGCCUCGGACCCGAAAGAUGGUGAACUAUGCCUGUAUAGGGUGAAGCCAGAGGAAACUCUGGUGGAGGCUCGCAGCGGUUCUGACGUGCAAAUCGAUCGUCAAAUAUGGGCAUGGGGGCGAAAGACUAAUCGAACCAUCUAGUAGCUGGUUACCGCCGAAGUUUCCCUCAGGAUAGCAGUGUUGUUCUUCAGUUUUAUGAGGUAAAGCGAAUGAUUAGGGACUCGGGGGCGCUUUUUAGCCUUCAUCCAUUCUCAAACUUUAAAUAUGUAAGAAGCCCUUGUUACUUAGUUGAACGUGGGCAUUCGAAUGUACCAACACUAGUGGGCCAUUUUUGGUAAGCAGAACUGGCGAUGCGGGAUGAACCGAACGCGGGGUUAAGGUGCCAGAGUAGACGCUCAUCAGACACCACAAAAGGCGUUAGUACAUCUUGACAGCAGGACGGUGGCCAUGGAAGUCGGAAUCCGCUAAGGACUGUGUAACAACUCACCUGCCGAAUGUACUAGCCCUGAAAAUGGAUGGCGCUCAAGCGUCUCACCCAUACCCCGCCCUUAAGGUAGAAA